AAAAGUUCACAGUAGGUGAAACGUUUGGAAUUGGAGAAAAAGAGGCAAGAGAAGAGAAAAGCAAGGAAAACCUAAGAAGAGCUCUAGGGAAGGGAAAUCAUAGCCAAAAGCUUGGAUUUUUCUGGAAUUACAAGGUAAAGGUGUGAAUUUGGAUUGAUGAUGAAUGUUGAUAUUUGUUGAAUGAAAUUUAUGCUUUAAAGUGUUCAUGUAGGUUCACCAUGGAUAAUGUUUGAAGGUUUUAG
rnacentral:lncRNA from 1 species